UUCUGUUCUGUCAUUGGUCCAUUCUGUUCUGUCAUUGGUCCAUUCUGUUCUGUGAUUGGUCCAUUCCCUCCUUCUGCUCCCCUCCUUCCUCCUGUUCCCCUUCUCCCCUGUUUGUACUGCUUGUCACGUUAGCCGCUAGGAGAGGAGGAUUUGCAAAGUAGAGACGGCAACAAAGAGAACAAGCCAAAGCAGGGUGGCGGCGGGCGGCGGCGAGGUGGCCAGAGGCACAGAGGCAAAGGCCUGACCAGCUUGUUGGUGGCGCCCCCUGCUGCAGGAGCAGCAGGAAGCAGCUAAACAGCCCGACUGACAUCUCAUCUGUUUCCCACCAUCCCUCCUCCAACCAGGCCCCCCCCCCCUGCUGUCUUAUUUCUUGCACCCUGGACACUUCAUCUUUUCAUUUUUUUUUUUUGGCGUUUAGGCAGAGCGAUUUUGCUCUCCAGUCAGCCCGUACAGGACUGUUCCCUUGCAGUAUUUUUCUUUUCUUUAUGUUUUUAAAUUUGUUACCACUCUCAAAUAAUUUCACCUUCCCAUAACCACCGUAUUUAACAACAAGCCACUCUCCUCUGUUUGUAGUUGUAUAUUGUUCUCCAGCAUGUGCCGAUUUCCCCACGGACCCAAUUAGCAAGCCCCCAGCUAAAUCCGUGUUUGCGUUGGGCUCAUUUAUUUUUCACAGUUCAAUUUUGCCAGCAGUUCCUGUCGAUAUGGAACAGAAAAAAGAGAGGUUUUAUUUUUAAAUUUUUGGUAUGUUGGUCAUGUCUUGUCUGCGAGAACUAGCCUGUGCCUAGAGUCUGUCUGCUGUGGAGAUGGAGAGAAUCUCUCUGGAGAGUUGGAGAUGUGUAGCCUCUUACCAUGUACUGUUUCAUCCCCAUGGAGGAAAUUCAGUUCAGAACAAGCCUCGUUAGACUCCUGUUCUUGUUUUUGUUGUUGUUUGUUUUGUUGUUCUAACCCCAGCACAAACAAUUAUGUAGCAAAUAUAUAGGAUGUUUGCAGAUUGACUGAGAACUGCUUUUAUAAGACACGUCUGAAACUAUACAAUUUGGCCUCAACUUUUAAAGUCCACACCAUUGAGGUUACUGUCAGUGGUCUGAAGUCAUUAGUUGGUAGAUGAUCCAUUCAUACAUUUCAAUGUUCUCCACUUCUCUGUUUGGAACUGGAUAUUGAUUUUACUAGAUUUAUUUAGUCCUGCAAAGAUUUUUAAUUUUUUUUGAAGCGAAGUAUCUAAACAUCUGGUCCCUAGAUUUGAGCAGACAAUUUCCUUUUAAUGGAAAAUGGACAGGUGUGCCUAUUGUAUGUCUUGAUGGAAAGAUUUAAAGUUUCAGUUUGAAAAAAAAAAAAAAAAGAAAUCCUACUGCUACUCAUAAGACUCAAACCAGUCAUCAUUGUCCAGUUACAGCCAUCCGUGGGUCAAUAUUCAGUUGAGUGUUUAGAAUAAACAUGCCAUAGGUCUUUGAAUGAUGGCUUUCGGAAGUCGGAAGCUGGUUCAGCGGUGUGUUUGUGACUUAUGCAGGUCUGCUCCGUUGCCAAGACGAGUCAUAUUGUGCCCAGCGUGCCCAUUUUUCUUGCAACAAUUCAGUUUCUCCUCCGUACUCCUGGGUCUAAAUCCCAAAAGACAAAAAGCGAAGGUAAGGAGAUUUUUUAGGUUCGGGCAAUUCUUCCUCCUGCACGGCAGGGGACUUUAAUACAGGGAAUACAAUCUAAGUUUGUGGAAGUGAUGUUUUUUGCUUUCCUUUUGUUUUAGAAUUAGCAUUAAAUACAUUUUAUGAGGCAUUUUUUAGGUAUUUGUGGUAGGGCAGACAACUGGGACUAUGAAUCCCCCCCCCCCCCCCAACCUAAGUGUGAAGCUGACCUGAAUGUCUUGAUGGUUUCAAUGGUUUUAUAUAGUUCACAGGCUUUGAUGAAUACUUUAGUGGGUUUGACUUCAGUGUUGUCAGUUUCCAUUGACAGGCCGAGAUCUUCACAGAGAUGUAUCCACUCUUGAGCUUCCCGUGUGGAUGUACUACAUUGAUGGGCUGUUGGUGGAUCUAGAAAGUGAAAUGAAGAAAGCUUUACAGAAUUGAAGAAAAAGGAUUAAGGAUGAAGGAAGCCGAUUAAGGAUGGCAGUAUUUGAAGGUUGCGUGUUCAUCCCAAGGUAUCUGAUUAGCUCAAAAUUCGGAUAGCAUUAUUCCAGAAAUGUUUUUGUGUCAUCCACUUGAACCUAGGGAACCAGCUUUAUAAGCUGAACAAGCUUGGGGGGGUAAUGGAUUGCACCAAGUAAACGUCCAAGAGGUGGAAAAAGUUCUUACGAGGUUUCUUUUUUGUUAUAUUAUCACUAUGGUCCUCAGGAUUUGCCAGACUUGUAUGUUGCAUAAAUUGGUUGGAUUUUGCAAGUUUUAUUUUUUAAUGAUGGGUUUUUAUUAUGGGAAGCCAAAAAGCAGGAUCCUUUGAUAAUCAUUUCCCCUUUUUUAGGUUUUACAGCAUGGACUCUUUUUUGGAUUAAGAAGUAGUCAUUAUAUGUUUGUUAAAAAGAGCUAUUUAACAUUGGCGAAAAAAGUUUUGUGUUGUACAUGCUUUUAAUUAAA
ensembl:lncRNA